CGCCCCUAGCGCCACCGCCCCUGCCUCCUUCCCCACCGCCGCCCGGCCUCCUCCCCUCACGUCCUCCUCCUUCCACCCCCUUCAAUCUGGCGCCGCCCAAACCAUGAAGAGCGGCCAAAGGAGCAACGACGGCCAGCCCCUGCCUCCUCUCCAGCACGUCCAGGGAUCCAUAGAUUGGUCCACAAUUACCUGACUCUCGUUUUUGUUAUUGGAUCUGGCUGCCGCGGUCGCCGUGGUCUCCUCGUGGUCGUCGGUCAGGUCGUUCGAAGGUGUGAAGUUUUGGGCCGUGCGCGUCGCUUGUCGUCGUCUUGGCCGCCGGUUGCUGUCAAAGUAGAGAUGCCAUUAGGGUUUGUUUUGCUGGUUGGUGGCCAGUAGUUUGCUUCCUCUUGCACCGGAUUAGUUGCCGCUCUUCGAGGAUAAGUCAAGUUGCUUCGUCGCGCAGGUGGCAGUUGGUUUCCUUUUCUGAGCCCGAUUGUGACAGCCUCAAAUCGCAAAAGGCGUAAGCUAGCCAGGAUAUGCAGAUCAUGUUGUCAAAGGGCCCUUGCCGGAUGAUUGGCGAUGUUUCCCGGUUACGUUCGUUGAGUCCCUUAAAGCUUCUUAUGCAGAUAGAUCGUAUUAUGGCCCUCUGGAGUAAAAGUGCGAGUGUGUAUAUAUUUUUGGAUCACAUGGUCUAAUUUGGCAUUGCGGAUUCAUACCUUCACAGAUUUCAAAUUCUGACAGCAUUGCAAUCCAAGCAUAUCGUUUCAAUUGAACUAAGGAAUUUUUCUCAGUGUGGUUGAUGGUUGAUGUAGGAGGGGUGUAUUGACGGCAGUUUCAAGCUGAUUGGAUGGCCGCCGUCAUGGGUGAUGCUGCCAACUGGAGAAACUACAUCAGACUCUCUAUAUCAAGCUGUUAAAGUCAUCACUGAAUGACUGAAUCGGCUUCAGCCUAAGGUUUGAUCAGGAAAGAGUUAGUUGUGUUGAUAUGUGGCGCCUCUAGCUGCACUGGCUCCAGGGAAUCCCGAUAGCAUGGUUUGCCUCGUGUGAAUUUGUUUGCUGUGAUGUUUAUAAUCAUGUUAAAUAUUUGGAUGUGUUCUUUGAAUUAAUCUCUGAUUAUCUGCGUGGUAUAUCUGGCCAUUCUACCAUUUCCUUAUUAUUAAGAGGUAUAUGUGUUCCUUUUCGGAUUAGGUACGGAAUAUAACAUCACUUGCUUUUGUCCUGCCAACAGCAUGGGUGGAGUUACAAACACUUGAAGAGUUGGCACAUAAAAUCUCUAAUGUAUAUUCUAUUGUCUAGGAGAACGCCUAGAAAGAUUAAAAAAUGCUCAAGUAUAAUAAUCUCAACUCUCAAGACUAUAUAUAUUGGUAGUACUGUAGGCACAUCGCUGGUUACUAUUAUUUGUUACAUGUGGAGUUAGGGCAGUGAGUUGAUUUGCUAUGAUAGGAUUCCUAUAUAUACUUAAAAAGGUGGUGCCUCUUUUCUUUAAUAUGAAUGUGUCUGUUCCAUUACAUAUGGACAAAUGGUCGUGCCAGUGGCUUCCAUGAGGAACUAUCUAUUUAUGUAUAUCUAAUUAUGCAAGAAACAUCAAUUUUAUUAUGUCUAUGCUUGCAGUGUUAGCGUUGUUUAGAAAUAAUUCAUGCAUUCCUAAUUGGAUCCUAGAGUUAUUACUGGGUACUUAUCUUGGACUAUUGUUAUGACUUGCUUUUGUAUAUUAUGCUACAUUUUCUAUGAUGUUGUGCACAAAGAGAUGUAAUAAUCUGAGCCACUCAUAAUAGAAGUCCUCCUGCGUCGUUCUUUGAGAGAUACGAAAUGCUGGAUCAAUGGUCUCUAUUUCCUGUUAUCUGUCUACUGGCUCUCUUUAUCUUUGCAUCAUGUGACCUGUGGUAUUUAUAUUGCGUACUACUGUCUAAUUAACCAAGCGUUCGCUUCACUGUUGUACCCCAAGGUU